rnacentral:tRNA from 1 species
GCCCGCGUGGCGCAAUUGGUUAGCGCGUCAGACUUUUACGAUCGAGUGAAGUGAUCUGAAUGUUGCGAGUUCGAGUCUCGCCGUGGGCG